UAAGACGAAGGUGGCUAGCGUUGUUCGGAAUCACUGGGCUUAAAGAGCACGUAGGCGGCCCAUCAAGCGUCGUGUGAAAUCCCUCGGCUCAACCGAGGAAUUGCUUGGCGAACUGAUGGACUUGAGGCAGGCAGGGGCGAGUGGAACUCUUGGUGGAGCGGUGGAAUGCGUAGAUAUCAAGAGGAACGCCAGAGGCGAAGGCGACUCGCUGGGCCUGUCCUGACGCUGAGGUGCGAAAGCUAGGGGAGCGAACGGGAUUAGAUACCCCGGUAGUCCUAGCCCUAAACGAUGUCCACUAGGUCAAUGGUUCUCUGACGGAUUGUUGGCCGAAAUAAAAACGUUAAGUGGACCGCCUGGGGAGUACGGUCGCAAGGCUA
rnacentral:rRNA from 1 species